GUACACUCCUACGGGAGGCAGCAGUGGGGAAUAUUGCACAAUGGGCGCAAGCCUGAUGCAGCCAUGCCGCGUGUAUGAAGAAGGCCUUCGGGUUGUAAAGUACUUUCAGCGGGGAGGAAGGCAAUACGGUUAAUAACCGUGUUGAUUGACGUUACCCGCAGAAGAAGCACCGGCUAACUCCGUGCCAGCAGCCGCGGUAAUACGGAGGGUGCAAGCGUUAAUCGGAAUUACUGGGCGUAAAGCGCACGCAGGCGGUCUGUCAAGUCGGAUGUGAAAUCCCCGGGCUCAACCUGGGAACUGCAUUCGAAACUGGCAGGCUUGAGUCUUGUAGAGGGGGGUAGAAUUCCAGGUGUAGCGGUGAAAUGCGUAGAGAUCUGGAGGAAUACCGGUGGCGAAGGCGGCCCCCUGGACAAAGACUGACGCUCAGGUGCGAAAGCGUGGGGAGCAAACAGGAUUAGAUACCCCGUUAGUCC
rnacentral:rRNA from 1 species